AGGAGAGAAAGUCACAAAUAGCAUUCAUUAAAGAGUAAAAUGACAUUACUAUCCUUGUAAUAUAAUUAAUAAAAUAAACAGAAAAAUUAAAUAAAACAAAUUUCAACCAAAAGUCAUCUCCUUCUCAUCGCUCUCCGACGAAAUUGUCCCUCCAUCUUCUCCGGCGAAGAACAUCUCCGACGAAGAAAGACUCUCUCGACACCGAGUUCCCCGACGAAGAAAUCGCGUUGAAUCACCACCAUCACACUCUUUACUCCCGAAAUCAAUCGGAACAAAUUUCCAGAAGAGAUACAGAGCUGUUGUUGUUGGAGCUGUUGUUGUUGGAGCUGUUGUUGGAGCUCAAAUCUUCUCCGAAGGAAAGCAUCUCCAGAGCUCUCUCUCUCUCUUUGAUUAAACACACUCGGGAUAGAACAACAAAAAGAUGGGAAAUUCAGUACCUCUCAAACUAGCACUGCCUAAGCUGAAGUAUCCUAUUGACACGAGAGUGCGAGAGAGAGCCAUAAAAUGAGACCCCUUCCCUUCAGACUCAAGAUUUCUCUACUAAUUUGACACGAGAGUGCAAGAGGGAGCCAUUGAAUGAGACCCCUUCCCCUCAGACUCAAGGUUUCUCCCCUGACGUGACACAACAGAAUGACCAAGAGCGAUCAUAUGAGACGCCAUCCAAUGCUAAUCAAGUAAAAGAAAAUCUUGGCCAUGAUGUAAGAUUUUUUUCUGAAAUUAUAGUUGAUGGUAUUUUGGUAAAGAAAGUAUUGGUACUUAAACCAUUAUGAACAGAAACGUGCUAGAAGAGUUUGCUUGUGUUCGUGAGUGUGACCGAGAGAUGAAUUUGCCUGGGAAAACUUUUGGGGGGUUUUUCUUUUGGUUUCAGGAAGGCUUGGAGUUUCAGGAGAGCUUUCCAAAAACUAUGAUACUAUUUGAAAAAAAAUAUUUGGUUUGGUUUAUGGAAGACGGGGACACAAUGGUAGAUUCAAUACCUUAAUUACUAGCUCUGCCUGAGCUCAUCUAUCCAAUUGGAUCAGAGCCAAAGUGAUUAAAGAACAUGACCAAUUUUGGUUUGGAUCGUCGCCUCCUCUCAACUUCAUCAGAAAAAAAUCAAAAGCUGAAGCGACGAGCACCAAUCAAAAGUUUUGUUCUCCCCUCUCUGAAUCUGAGAUCUAUAUAACUUCUUUCAUUUGUAUUUUUCUUGAACACCUUAUGGUCAGAAAUAAAGUUUAUUCCAGAAGAAAAAGAAGUAGUUGGAGAGUCUAAUACUGUUAUUCCCGUUUGAUUUUCUUGGAGACAAGUUCGGAAAAAGCUUUGAAAUUUAAAAACCUUUUUUU